GGGCCCGCACAAGCGGCGGAGCAUGUGGCUUAAUUCGAUGCAACGCGAAGAACCUUACCUGGGUUGAACUAUGCAGGAAAAGCAGUAGAGAUACUGUGUCCUUCGGGGCCUGCGAUAGGUGGUGCAUGGCUGUCGUCAGCUCGUGUCGUGAGAUGUUGGGUUAAGUCCCGCAACGAGCGCAACCCUUGUCCUAUGUUGCCAGCGGAUAAUGCCGGGGACUCAUGGGAAACUGCCGGUGCUAAACCGGAGGAAGGUGGGGAUGACGUCAAGUCAUCAUGCCCCUUACGUCCAGGGCUGCACACAUGCUACAAUGGCCGGUACAAAGGGCUGCGAACUCGCGAGAGUAAGCCAAUCCCAAAAAGCCGGUCUCAGUUCGGAUUGCAGUCUGCAACUCGACUGCAUGAAGCCGGAGUCGCUAGUAAUCGCAGAUCAGCAUUGCUGCGGUGAAUACGUUCCCGGGCCUU
rnacentral:rRNA from 1 species